ACAAGUACCGUGAGGGAAAGUUGAAAAGUACUUUGAAAAGAGAGUGCAAGAGAACGUGAAACCGAAGUAAUGGAAGCGAAUGGAGUUGACGUAUCUGGUGCGUAUUCAGUUGUUUAAGCUCGUUGAAUUGCUGGCGUUCGUCUGUGGCGGCGUUAGUAUUGUUCGGCGGUUUGGCGAUUCAUUUACGUACGGAGUGCGCCGAGUUGUGCGAUGCUGUCGGUUGAGGCGUGCUGAGAGGAAAUUUGCUUCGGUGAAUGAAACCUCGGCUGCGUGGAGACCGGUUGGCGUUGCGCAGCUUCGUAGUGAGACGUUUAUGCGUGCUGCUGUGGCGGUUGGUUUGGUUCGCUUGUUACACAUGUGUGGCUUGCUUAUCGGGCUUUCCGUUGCGGUCGGUAUGCCCAACGUUCUUCUCGGUGUAUAGUCAAUGACCCAUUCGACCCGUCUUGAAACACGGACCAAGGAGUUUAUGGUAUACGCGAGUCAUUGGGCAUUGAAAACCCAUAGGCGAAAUGAAAGUGAGACAUUUGAUUGUUUUAAUGCGAUCGGUGAUUGUUUCGACGGUUGCCGAGCAGCAUUGCCCCGUUCCAAGGACUUGUCCUGUUGCGGAGGUUGAGCGUAUGCUGUGAGACCCGAAAGAUGGUGAACUAUGCCUGAACAGGAUGAAGUCAGAGGAAACUCUGAUGGAAGUCCGAAGCGGUUCUGACGUGCAAAUCGAUCGUCUGAUUUUGGUAUAGGGGCGCAAGACUAAUCGAACCAUCUAGUAGCUGGUUCCUUCCGA
rnacentral:rRNA from 1 species